rnacentral:rRNA from 1 species
UUUUUAAACCUUCCUGGAGGAGCUUGCCAUUUAACCCGAUAACCCUCGUUAUACCUCACCAAUCUUUGUAACUACCAACUUGUAUACCAUCGUCGUCAGUCUACCUUCCAAAAGAAAGUUUACCCAAUUGAAUCUUCUUCAAAACGUCAGAUCGAGGUGCAGUCUAUAGAUUGGCAAUGAGUGAGCUACAAUAAUUAUACUAACCCCUUAAAAUCAAUUAUGGAAAAAUUAAUGAAAAAAAAAUCUAAAUCGAAUUCAGAAGUAAUGAAAAAAAGAAAAUUUUCAUGAAACUCAGCUCUAAAAUACGU